UCGAUCUCGGCCCGGUUCUCGAGAUCCCUUUGGCGUCCGCGGCGGCGCAACUCUGGUGUCAGUGCGUCCGAGGGCGAGGAGAGAGUCGUCUCGAGUCGCCUGGGAGAUCGCGGGCCAUGCUCCCGCCGGCGGCGAGCGGUCCCGGGCGCGAUCGAUUGCGCGUGUCACGCGACGCGCGGCAUCCGGCGGCGCGACGGGGAAGCCAGGGGAGGCCGCGGUGUCUGUGUCCGAAAAAUGGCUGCCCCACGGGCGCUCCGUGAGGGCCGACCGAGUGCGUCGUGAGGACCGCGCGAGUGCCCGCCGAGUAGCCGAGACCGCACCGGGAAUGGCGGAUCCAGUCGCGUAGCCGGUCAUCGGUGCUCCGCCGGGAGCAGGUCGCGACUCGCUCGCGCGCGGGUGCUCCGUGCCCGAGGGGACGAGGGAGCGAGCGAGAGGGAGCGCGGCGGGGUGGGCGAGUGAGAGAGAGAGGUCCCGAGAGAAAGGCUCAGCCGAGCCGGACGGGGACAGCGGCGGAAAGGUGAGGCGGCGCGAGCUGGCCCGGAGCCGUCAGCACCUAGCAGACGAUAUUACACCCGACUCUACCUGGGGAACCGAUACCGAGGCAUGUAGGCGACGGGAACACGGACCGGAAUAACAACAACACCAUGACGAGCGAGGACCUGCUGCAACCUGGACACGUCGUUAAAGAGCGCUGGAAAGUGAUGAGAAAAAUCGGCGGGGGUGGAUUCGGAGAGAUCUACGAGGGCCUAGAUUUAAUGACGAAAGAACAAGUUGCUCUGAAGGUGGAAUCUGCCCGUCAACCGAAACAAGUCCUCAAGAUGGAAGUGGCCGUGCUUAAAAAACUUCAGGGUAAAGAACACGUUUGCAGAUUCAUAGGCUGCGGACGUAACGACAGAUUCAAUUACGUCGUGAUGCAGCUGCAGGGGAAAAAUCUGGCGGAACUGCGCCGCGCGCAGCCAAGAGGUGCCUUCUCGCUGUCGACCACUCUGCGACUCGGUCUUCAAAUCUUGAAAGCAAUAGAGAGUAUACACCAAGCGGGCUUCCUUCAUAGAGACAUUAAGCCGUCAAAUUUUUCAAUCGGGCGUUAUCCAUACAACACCAGGAUGGUAUACAUGUUGGACUUCGGUUUGGCUCGUCAAUUUACAAUGGCCACCGGUGAAGUGAGGCCCCCUCGAACAGCGGCAGGAUUUAGAGGAACCGUCCGUUACGCCUCGGUCAAUGCUCACAAGAACAAGGAGAUGGGAAGACACGACGACUUGUGGUCCCUGUUUUAUAUGUUGGCAGAAUUCGUCAACGGGCAGCUUCCAUGGCGUAAGAUAAAAGAUAAGGAGAGGGUUGGAUUAAUGAAGGAGAAAUGCGACCACCACGCGUUACUUAAACACCUUCCGUCUGACCUCAAAUUGUUCCUGGAACAUAUUCAGAGUUUGGGAUAUGCCGACAGGCCUGAUUAUACCAUGCUAGCCGGUCUGUUGGAGAAGUGUAUGGCACGCAGAGGUGUGAAGGCGAGCGAUCCUUACGACUGGGAAAGGCCUUUGAUUGCGAACGAAGGACUUCCGACGACCAGGUCGUUACCCACCGUCACCGCACCUCCAGCACUCACGACAGCUACUACGAUCAAUCAUCCGCCAACGACACCCAAUUUGGAUACAAACAAUCAAGAAAACGUCGAACCUGACAACAGAAAAGAGUUAGAAGCACAAUUUGAUUUAGAAAGUAUAUGCGCGAGAAACCGUCAGAGGAGGAUAGAGGGCUCCCCUGUUCCGUUCGCCUCGGCGAUCAGUAACCACGGCCGGGACAAGAAUUGCAAUGCAACGAUUCCAAUUACGGAUAACACGCACCAACAGAGCGGCCAACAAGUCGCAGCGACACCGCUUGUACAAGGUUCGCCAAAGAAAAGGCGUGCAGUAUCGAUGGCCGUGGAGCCGCAGUCACCGGCUACGCCGGCGGAGAAACAAGUCGAUAAUGAAGGGGACGCACUCAUGGCGUCUGCUCGAUCUGCGUCCGAAGUUCCUCGAGUUAAGUCGGUUGCCAAUGCUGCGGCGCCUCUUCGCAAGUCCGCGAGCGGCGCCACUUUCGCUCGCCUGCGAGUGAUGGCAGCACCGGAAGCUGCUUCCGGCGAACCGCCGAGUCCACGGAUACAGACGGAAGCGGAUGCUUCCUAUUGUUCGUACGACGUAACGAACACUAAACAUGUAGGAAACCAAAGUCCGGUAACGGAACAAAGGCAAGCAUUGAAAAGGGACCUCAGAAGACGCACUGAGACGCGGCAGCAAGGAAGAGGUCAUGCGGCGUUGCGGGAUUGUUCCAUCACACAGUUUGCACAAAUUGACGACGAUAAUGUCUCAGCUCUACAGCAAGUGACAAGAGGUGGCGGUGGACUAACCCUGGCAUCGCAGUGGAAGUCGCAGUUCGAUGACUCGGAGGAGACCGACAACGAAUGGAAAGGGGAGAACCUGCAGAGUCCGGAGCACAGAACCACGAAUCCAUCGGCGAUAAUUCCGCAGUCCACAGUUGGUAGCGAGGUCGUAGCAACGCCGGCGUCGACGGGUGAGCCCAACGAGGAGAAGACGGCGGCGCAGCAGCAACCGGCUACGACGACGCCGACCGCUCAGACCGCGCUCUCGCGGAUAAGUGAGGACUCACCGAGACCGACCUCGCAGACGCCGCACAGAUGCCUGAACAUCGCCGGCAUCGAGAAGUACCCGGAGCUCCAGGGUGUCUUGCCUCGGGCUUGGAGCGUACCGGCGCUGGCGCCGCACGUUCGUGGCCAUCUUGAGGCACCUUUGGUCCAACAGGCAGCUUUCGACGAUUCAUUGUACAAAGUCGACGUGAUGAGGAAUAUUGCCACACGAGACGACGAGCCGAAAGAGAGUCCUCCGGCGAGGCGGGCGAGUGUCCCCGCGGUUGCGUUCGCCUCGAUUAGCACGGCUCCCGAAACUCCGGUCGGCGACGAAGAGGAACAAGCAGUCGCGGGAAGACUGGAAAUCAGAGUAGUGGAUGCCACUGGCGGUGCCACGGUCGUACAAACCAGCGCCGACAAGGAGCCGUUGCAGAGGAAGUUGACGAAUGGCACUAUAGGUAGUCCGGCGAGUCCAAAUCCUGGACCGGAGGAGUCUUCGGUGUAUUACGAUGCCACGGAGAAUCGCGCCCCCUCGAACGGAAUGCCGAACGGAACUCUGGGGAACGCGUCGACUGCGACUACCGUUCCAAGUGCCAUGCCCUUGCGCGAACACAAGGACAAUAAUAAGGAAAAGGAGGCUCCUGCCAGGCCGCAUGUCACUUACAGUAAAAUACCGGUGCCGGUCAAAAGUCCCAAGUGUUCACUAUCCGAGUCCACGCCGGAUACGAACACGUUAAAUACCAAAACCGGGACCGGAAGUGAGCCUGAUAAGUCUCCAGCACCGACAAUGCAAUCCAAAGAUAGAGAUACAGAUAAGAUGUAGAAAAAGUGAAAAAUGGCAGGGACGUGUAUAAAGAGUGAAAUCGCAGUUUUGAGAGAGAGAAAAGGAGUCGCUCCUAAAGGACACUUGUUCCAGAGUGGGACGUAUCCCGAGGAGUGUGAGAUUUGUGACCGAGGCGAGUUAUUCCUGACUCCUGCUAUUGUGUUACGUGAUUUUCAAGCUACUCGAGGUCACCCGGGAGUGAUGAAUAACGUGAAAUUAUUCGUUGCUCGGGACGAAUACGUCGUGUUUAAUUAUGCCGGGCAACGGGAGAGUUUCUACGGCCAUGUGCGGAGUCACUGCCAUAAAGCUCGGACAGAUAUCCAAAGUAAUUUAGUCGCCAUAAAGAUUGUACUACUAAGUCGAAGUUAUAUACAUAUAUAUAAAAAAAAAAGUCUGAUUAAAAAGAUGGAGCGCUCCACAUUCCUCACUUAAGAACUACCAAAGGCAAAUCCUUGACAGUGCUGCCGGAGGCGCCGACGCUGCGACGCUGCUUGACGCUGCCGGACGCUCGACCUCCUGUACCUCCGCUGACGUCCACCAGCU
rnacentral:misc_RNA from 1 species